CAGCCCUGCAGCAGAGGGGAUGAUCAUGGAUUGACCAGUUCCUUGAGAGCUGAUUCAUGUGAGACCUCAUAGCUUCAUGUGUGCAACGACCACAUUAUGUCUAUGUAUGCACUAGGUUCCAAGCAUGGGGGUUUCUAGCUGCAGUCCUUGCAGCUUUUGCUAGCAUUUACUUUCUACCAUCUCCCAUUGAUCCAGAACCAUUCAUUUUUGAAAAGCCACCUCCUGCCUUAGUUGGAUCAUUGCAAGUGAAUAAAAAGCUUCAGAGUGGACAAAGAAUCUUCACAGGACAACUGAAAGCUCCUGAGUCUUUUGCUGCUGAUAAUGAAGGCAAGUAGGUAACUUCCAAAUGGGUAAAGUUAUACACCUGCUACAUGUUACGCAUCUGAUGCAUCUGCUCGGUCAAGUUAUUAGAAGAAUCGAGAAGUUAAAUCCAAGACUUAAGAAUUAAAUCCAAAGAAAGAAAAAUAGGAAUAAUUGCUAGAAGUAAGAUAAUUGUAUGUUCUUCCAUAUAUUUGCAUUUGUAAACAUUUCCCUGGAAAUAGUCCAUAACAUCUGCUUGUCUACUGCUCUCAGGGACACAGCGAGUGUCCCACGGCUAUACUA